rnacentral:rRNA from 1 species
CAGUAGCCACGGGAAUACGUAGGUGGCAAGCGUUGUCCGGAAUUAUUGGGCGUAAAGGGCUCGCAGGCGGUUUCUUAAGUCUGAUGUGAAAGCCCCCGGCUCAACCGGGGAGGGUCAUUGGAAACUGGGAAACUUGAGUGCAGAAGAGGAGAGCGGAAUUCCACGUGUAGCGGUGAAAUGCGUAGAGAUGUGGAGGAACACCAGUGGCGAAGGCGACUCUCUGGUCCGUAACUGACGCUGAGGAGCGAAAGCGUGGGGAGCGAACAGGAUUAGAUACCCCAGUAGUCCCUGUCUCUUAUAC